AACUGGGGGGAGGGUCACCAUGGGCGGCUCCCUCAGCCCACCCUGCGGCCAGCACGUGCUGGUCCACGGCCCGAGCGGACACAUGAGACCCCCACAGGACAGCUGACUCCCCUCAGCUUCCAGAGGCGUGGGGGGCCACCCUGACCACUGGGAGGGGACACAGGUCAGAGGACGGGGCUGCUGAGAGCUCACAGCCCCACACACCCUGCUCAGCAGGGGCCUCCCUUGGUCUGGGUGCUUGGGCUGGGUCCUGGGUCCUGGGCUGGGUGCUGGGUCCUGGGCACUAGAUACUGAGUGUAGGUUACUGGGCUGGGUGUUAGGUGCUGGGUGCUGGGUUAGGUGCUAAGUGUUAGGUCCAGGGUCCUGGGUGAUAAGAUGCUGGGUCCUGGGCUGGGUGCUGGGUGCUAGGUCCUGGGCAGGGUGCCGGGUUAUAGUCCUGGGAGCUGGGGGCGGGGUGCCGGCCGGCCGGGCACACUCACCCACAUGUGCUCAGGGUAGUCGGCCAGACGUCGCAGGCCCCGCACCACCGUGUCGCGGUCCUCCUCCCACUUGCGUUUGCAGAAGACGAUCUCCAGGAAGUACCAGGUCCAGCCGAUGAGG